rnacentral:lncRNA from 1 species
AUCUCAAUUCGGUUGCUUUAAUUCCGGCUAUUGAGCGAUCCUAUAUAUAUAGGAUCGCUCUCAACCAAACUUUUACUUUUCAUUUUGACUUUUCUGGUGCUGGAAUUGUGCUAGAAGAUCGCCCUAGUGUCUGAGGACUGUUCUUUCAUCUUUUUCAAGUGUAGCUGUCUUUUCUUGAGUUCUUCCUCUAGUCUUUAUUUCCUUGAUGGCUAGGACUUUUUCUUCCCAGGAUGGUCAGCU